rnacentral:rRNA from 1 species
UUUCCGGUUGAUCCCGCCGGAAGCCACUGCUAUUGGGGUUCGACUAAGCCAUGCGAGUCUAUGGACUUCUGGUCCAUGGCGGACGGCUCAGUAACACGUGGCUAACCUACCCUCAGGUGGGGGAUAACCUCGGGAAACUGAGGGUAAUACCCCAUAGGGGAAGAGGUCUGGAAUGAUCCUUCCUUGAAAGGACAUCCGCCUGAGGAUGGGGCUGCGUCCGAUUAGGUAGUUGGUGGGGUAAUGGCCCACCAAGCCUACGACCGGUACGGGCCUUGAGAGAGGAAGCCCGGAGAUGGGGACUGAGACACGGCCCCAGGCCCUACGGGGCGCAGCAGGCGCGAAACCUCCACAAUGCACGAAAGUGCGAUGGGGGAACCCCAAGUGCCUAUGCACAGCAUAGGCUUUUCCCAAGUGUAAACAGCUUGGGGAAUAAGGGCUGGGCAAGUCCGGUGCCAGCAGCCGGGUAACACCGGCGGCCCGAGUGGUGGCCACUCUUAUUGGGCCUAAAGCGUCCGUAGCCGGUCCAGUAAGUCCCUGUUUAAAUCCUACGGCUCAACCGUAGGGCUGGCAGGGAUACUGCUGGACUUGGGACCGGGAGAGGACGAGGGUACUCCAGGGGUAGCGGUGAAAUGUGUUGAUCCCUGGAGGACCACCUAUGGCGAAGGCACUCGUCUGGAACGGGUCCGACGGUGAGGGACGAAAGCCAGGGCGCGAACCGGAUUAGAUACCCGGGUAGUCCUGGCCG